GGAAUCACUGGGCGUAAAGAGCAUGUAGGCGGAUUGAUAAGUUUGAAGUGAAAUCCUAUAGCUUAACUAUAGAACUGCUUUGAAAACUGUUAAUCUAGAAUGUGGGAGAGGUAGAUGGAAUUUCUGGUGUAGGGGUAAAAUCCGUAGAGAUCAGAAAGGAAUACCGAUUGCGAAGGCGAUCUACUGGAACAUUAUUGACGCUGAGAUGCGAAAGCGUGGGGAGCAAACAGGAUUAGAUACCCUGGUAGUCCACGCCCUAAACGAUGUACACUAGUUGUUGUGAGACUAGAUCUUGCAGUAAUGCAGUUAACACAUUAAGUGUACCGCCUGGGGAGUACGGUCGCAAGAUUAAAACUCAAAGGAAUAGACGGGGACCCGCACAAGCGGUGGAGCAUGUGGUUUAAUUCGACGAUACACGAAGAACCUUACCUGGACUUGACAUAGUAAGAAUGAUUUAGAGAUAGAUUAGUGUCUGCUUGCAGAAACUUGCAUACAGGUGCUGCACGGCUGUCGUCAGCUCGUGUCGUGAGAUGUUGGGUUAAGUCCCGCAACGAGCGCAACCCUCGUCCUUAGUUGCUAACAGUUCGGCUGAGAACUCUAAGGAGACUGCCUACGCAAGUAGGAGGAAGGUGAGGAUGACGUCAAGUCAUCAUGGCCCUUACGUCCAGGGCUACACACGUGCUACAAUGGGGUAUACAAAGAGCGGCAAUACAGUGAUGUGGAGCAAAUCUUAUAAAAUACCUCCCAGUUCGGAUUGUAGUCUGCAACUCGACUACAUGAAGUUGGAAUCGCUAGUAAUCGUAGAUCAGCUAUGCUACGGUGAAUACGUUCCCGGGUCUUGUACUCACCGCCCGUCACACCAUGGGAGUUGAACUCAUUCGAAGCGGGGAUGCUAAAAUAGCUACCUUCCACAGUGGAUUCAGCGACUGGGGUGAAGUCGUAACAAGGUAACCGUAGGAGAACCUGC
rnacentral:rRNA from 1 species